AACGCUGAUCGAUAUCUUGGUAAAAUAUUCAUUUUUAAACUAGCGGGCAGUGAAAUCUUUGCUUUGUGUGCUAAAGUCAACAGUCGCUCGGUUUGAGCUCAAAUAAAUGCGGAGAUGCCUCGGCUCGGAGCAGUUGGCCGCCUCCCUCCGCGAGCUGGACGCUCCGCCGCCAGCCCGCCACACCGCAGAUUUGCUUGUUCCCAGCAACCAGAACAGAAAGAUGAGAUGGAGGAAGCUACUGUUUUUCUAAGAGUCCCACGUGUUGGAAAGUACAUGAACUUCUCCCCAGGCUGAACUUUGACCGUCACAAGAGUGUCCCCAACAGGCCAUACUUUUGCUGUCAGAUUCGAAUUGCUCCUGGAUGCUUUCCUCUGAGUUUUCAAAGAGUAUCAACUGAGGAAUGAGACACAAAAGCAGACUGUUAAUAGAGAGGCCAUGGCCCAAGUCCAGAUGGGUGCUGUGUAUGCACCUGGAGCUCUCAAGAUAAAGGGAAGGGGGCACAUGGAAAUCGAGACUUGCCGCCUUGGACCAAACUACCAGACCCACAAAGCAUCAGAAUAUGUCGACAAAAGAUGUUAAAAUAUGAAAGUGUUGAUUUGCCCUGCAGUGCAAAUUGAAGUUGUGAUGGUUAGGUUGCCCAAGUAGACCUUCAACCUUCCAUGAAGUCUCUUACCAUGACUAAUAAAGCUUACUACAAAACUCACAGGGAAAAAAAAAAAAAAAAAACCUUCUGUAUAUUUUUCCUGCUGGGUGGUCAGAAGGAAAGGCCACGAAGCCAAAGGCCUCCCAUUGAGACAGUGCUCUACGGAAAGCCGACCUCACGUGCAGCAGCCGCAGGAGAUGAGAGCACCUGUCGGGUCUCCGCCACUCCUUGGUAGACAGUGAGACUGGUUUGACCAUCUUGCUUCCUGCUGUGUUCAUAAAGUCCAGAACAGUGCUUGGCACAAAGUAGUCACUCAGUAAAUACUUGUGAAUGAUGAGCAAAUGACAUCCCUGUGCCCAGCUGGGACUGAUGACCUGAAAACUCUCCUUUCCAAGUGCACCUGUUGAGAUCUGUCCAUCGCCGAAGGUCAUACUUGAGUACCACCACAUCUCUAUGCAGGAUACAUCUUGAAGAUGACACAAAAGUCAAGGACAACCUAACCCAUAUCAACCUUUGUAAGUGUGAUAACUGAACAUUCAGUAUGUUAACUCUCUGAGGUUUGGUGUUUGCUCCAACAAUUUUAUCCAUAUCCUUAAACUUCAUCUGAGCCACUAGUUUCUUCUUCCUGUCUCAUCAGCAUCUAUCAGGACUACACAUCUAUGAUGAAAGCAAGGAACUGGGGUUAAUUUCUUCUUCCUUGUUAUGUGUGUACCUCUCCCCACUCCAAGUUGUAUUGUGCAGUAAAAUGACUGAGAAGAAGAAGAAGGUCAUGGACUGCCUAAAUCACUGAAAACAGGAUCACUGACUGUGUCCAAAAAGGUCUUAGCCAAGCCAAACAGUGGAAAAGGUGAAAUGUUAACAUGAAUGCAGUAAAUAUUCAGUCCUUCUUUGGAGAAUCUUAAGGAAAAAGGAGAGAGUUGUGUUGGAAAUGACUGACAGGUGGAUGUCUGCAGGGGCCCACCACACCGUAGAAGACUGUCUGGAGGAGAAGGUGUGCCUGAUGUCCUUCCCAAUAAAAAGCCUGGGAAAAAACAUCUGUCAAGUGAUAUUUAGAACUGACAUUUUCAUAAGGAUCGAGUCUAUGGAGGGUUUUUGCAGGGCUUGGAAAAACACAUUUUUCAUUCUUCCUCCUCUCCAUCUCCUGUAAUUAAAUGAUGUUCACAGUGUUAAAUGUAUAUUUAAAAUGACAUGCUUCAAGGAUUACAUUUUAAGAAGCUUUCUAUUUGGAAACAAUUUUGACAAUAAUAAUGAUAAUUUCAAAAAGUAAUAUUUAUUUCCUGAGCUCUUUGAGAGUAAGGUAGGUGCACACAUCAUGGCUCUUUACUCCUAACUAUUUCCUAUUUCCUUCUAAAUGUACUCCAAGCUGGGGUCUGAGACACAGAGUGAUGCCCAAUUUAUGACACUAAGCUUUGGGAAAUGGAAGUCCAGGUUCUGCCUUUAUUUUCCAGCAAUUAGGAUAUUCUUGGAGAGGAAUGUUGGCUGAAAGAUGCCCACAUGGAGAGACAUCUGCUCUCUUGCCACAGGUGCUGCCUUGUCUAAUAUUUUCAUGUUCUGCUUGGGUGAUGAAAUAGAAGGGAUGUUUGCCGCCCCACCCCCCACCCCAUUCAGGGAUACUGAUUGGGAAUGGGUGGCUAACAUAGUUUCUGGGUCAGAAAAGAUCUUGAUAAACUGGACCUUUACCAAAUUAAAUAUAAAAUAUAUGUUA